rnacentral:rRNA from 1 species
CCCUUAGAUGUUCUGGGCUGCACGCGCGCUACACUGAAGCGUUCAACGAGUAUUCACCUUGCCCGGGAGGGUUGGGUAAUCUUUUGAAAACGCUUCGUGAUGGGGAUAGAUUAUUGCAAUUAUUAAUCUUCAACGAGGAAUUCCUAGUAAGCGCGAGUCAUCAGCUCGUGCUGAUUACGUCCCUGCCCUUUGUACACACCGCCCGUCGCUACUACCGAUUGGACGUUUUAGUGAGGAUUUUGGACUGAGCCAAUGGUGGUUCACACCACUGUUGUGCAUGGAAAGAUCUCCAAACUUGAGCGUUUAGAGGAAGUAAAAGUCGUAACA